UUCGGGGAUGGUGUAAUGGUAGCACAGCAGAUUUUGGUUCUGCUUGUCUAGGUUCGAAUCCUAGUCCCCGAAU
rnacentral:tRNA from 1 species